rnacentral:RNase_P_RNA from 1 species
AGAGCUGGCUCAGUGGUUGCGGGGUGAGAGCGGAUCUUCGAUCUGUUUUCAUCUUGAGGAAAGUCCGGGCUCCCAAAAAGUCAAACUUGCUGGGUAACGCCCAGUGCGGGUGACCGUGAGGAGAGUGCCACAGAAACAUACCGCCGAUGGAGAGGAAACUUUCACAGGUAAGGGUGCAAGGGUGCGGUAAGAGCGCACCGGCAGCAUCGAGAGGUGCUGGCCAGGUAAACCCCGGUUGGGUGCAAGGCCGAAGGAGCGACGGUUGACUUUUUACCGGCUCCGUUUUAAGUGUGCCGCUAGAGGCGUUUGGUAACAGACGUCCCAGAUAGAUAACCACCUCAUAGAAAAGGGCUUGGCCCUGCUUCUAUUGAGAACAGAACCCGGCUUAGGUCCAGCUCUAGAU